rnacentral:rRNA from 1 species
AUUGAACGCUGGCGGCAGGCCUAACACAUGCAAGUCGAACGGUAACAGGAAGAAGCUUGCUUCUUUGCUGACGAGUGGCGGACGGGUGAGUAAUGUCUGGGAAACUGCCUGAUGGAGGGGGAUAACUACUGGAAACGGUAGCUAAUACCGCAUAACGUCGCAAGACCAAAGAGGGGGACCUUCGGGCCUCUUGCCAUCGGAUGUGCCCAGAUGGGAUUAGCUAGUAGGUGGGGUAACGGCUCACCUAGGCCACGAUCCCUAGCUGGUCUGAGAGGAUGACCAGCCACACUGGAACUGAGACACGGUCCAGACUCCUACGGGAGGCAGCAGUGGGGAAUAUUGCACAAUGGGCGCAAGCCUGAUGCAGCCAUGCCGCGUGUAUGAAGAAGGCCUUCGGGUUGUAAAGUACUUUCAGCGGGGGGGAAGGGAGUAAAGUUAAUACCUUUGCUCAUUGACGUUACCCGCAGAAGAAGCACCGGCUAACUCCGU